CUACGGGAGGCAGCAGUGGGGAAUUUUGCACAAUGGGCGAAAGCCUGAUGCAGCAACGCCGCGUGUGUGAUGAAGGUCUUCGGAUCGUAAAGCACUUUCGACCGGGACGAAACUCCUCUGGCUAAUAUCCAGAGGCUUGACGGUACCGGGAGAAGAAGCACCGGCUAACUCUGUGCCAGCAGCCGCGGUAAUACAGAGGAUGCAAGCGUUGUUCGGAAUUAUUGGGCGUAAAGCGCGUGUAGGCGGCCUUGCAAGUCGGGUGUGAAAGCCCUCAGCUUAACUGAGGAAGUGCGCCCGAAACUGCUUGGCUUGAGUACCGGAGAGGGUGGCGGAAUUCCCCAAGUAGAGGUGAAAUUCGUAGAUAUGGGGAGGAACACCGGUGGCGAAGGCGGCCACCUGGACGGAUACUGACGCUGAGACGCGAAAGCGUGGGUAGCAAACAGGAUUAGAUACCCUCGUAU
rnacentral:rRNA from 1 species